rnacentral:rRNA from 1 species
GCCUGCCCUGUGACUUGAGGUUUAACGGCCGCGGUAUUCUAACCGUGCAAAGGUAGCGCAAUCACUUGUUUUUUAAAUGAAGACCUGUAUGAAUGGCAUAACGAGGGCUAAACUGUCUCCUUCUCCCAGUCAAUGAAAUUGAUCCCCCCGUGCAGAAGCGGGGAUAAAUACAUAAGACGAGAAGACCCUAUGGAGCUUAAAACGAAAGAAUAGAACAUGUUAUAUCCCUUUAAUUAAAAAAUCAAACUAAAUGUUUCCUAUUCUAGUGUUUUCGGUUGGGGCGACCACGGAGCACAACAAAACCCCCGUGAGGAAAAAAUGAACAACAUUUUAAAUUAAGAGUGACAACUCUAGAUAACAGAAAUUCUGACCCUAAUAGAUCCGGCAAAGCCGAUCAACGGACCGAGUUACCCUAGGGAUAACAGCGCAAUCCCCUUUUAGAGCCCACAUCGACAAGGGGGUUUACGACCUCGAUGUUGGAUCAGGACAUCCUAAUGGUGCAGCCGCUAUUAAGGGUUCGUUUGUUCAACGAUUAAAGUCCUACGUGAUCUGA